GACGAACGCUGGCGGCGUGCCUAAUACAUGCAAGUAGAACGCUGAAGGAGGAGCUAGCUUCUCUGGAUGAGUUGCGAACGGGUGAGUAACGCGUAGGUAACCUGCCUGGUAGCGGGGGAUAACUAUUGGAAACGAUAGCUAAUACCGCAUAAUAGCAGUUGUUGCAUGACAACUGUUUGAAAGGUGCAAUUGCACCACUACCAGAUGGACCUGCGUUGUAUUAGCUAGUUGGUGGGGUAACGGCUCACCAAGGCGACGAUACAUAGCCGACCUGAGAGGGUGAUCGGCCACACUGGGACUGAGACACGGCCCAGACUCCUACAGGAGGCAGCAGUAGGGAAUCUUCGGCAAUGGACGGAAGUCUGACCGAGCAACGCCGCGUGAGUGAAGAAGGGUGUCGGAUCGUAAAGCUCUGUUGUAAGAGAAGAACGAGUGUGAGAGUGGAAAGUUCACACUGUGACGGUAUCUGACCAGAAAGGGACGGCUAACUACGUG
rnacentral:rRNA from 1 species